rnacentral:rRNA from 1 species
UUUAUGGAGAGUUUGAUCCUGGCUCAGGAUGAACGCUGGCGGCGUGCCUAAUACAUGCAAGUCGAGCGAACAGACGAGGAGCUUGCUCCUUUGACGUUAGCGGUGGACGGGUGAGUAACACGUGGAUAACCUACCUAUAAGACUGGGAUAACUUCGGGAAACCGGAGCUAAUACCGGAUAACAUGUUGAACCGCAUGGUUCAACAGUGAAAGACGGUCUUGCUGUCACUUAUAGAUGGAUCCGCGCCGCAUUAGCUAGUUGGUAAGGUAACGGCUUACCAAGGCAACGAUGCGUAGCCGACCUGAGAGGGUGAUCGGCCACACUGGAACUGAGACACGGUCCAGACUCCUACGGGAGGCAGCAGUAGGGAAUCUUCCGCAAUGGGCGAAAGCCUGACGGAGCAACGCCGCGUGAGUGAAGAAGGUCUUCGGAUCGUAAAACUCUGUUAUUAGGGAAGAACAAAUGUGUAAGUAACUAUGCACGUCUUGACGGUACCUAAUCAGAAAGCCACGGCUAACUACGUGCCAGCAGCCGCGGUAAUACGUAGGUGGCAAGCGUUAUCCGGAAUUAUUGGGCGUAAAGCGCGCGUAGGCGGUUUUUUAAGUCUGAUGUGAAAGCCCACGGCUCAACCGUGGAGGGUCAUUGGAAACUGGAAAACUUGAGUGCAGAAGAGGAAAGUGGAAUUCCAUGUGUAGCGGUGAAAUGCGCAGAGAUAUGGAGGAACACCAGUGGCGAAGGCGACUUUCUGGUCUGUAACUGACGCUGAUGUGCGAAAGCGUGGGGAUCAAACAGGAUUAGAUACCCUGGUAGUCCACGCCGUAAACGAUGAGUGCUAAGUGUUAGGGGGUUUCCGCCCCUUAGUGCUGCAGCUAACGCAUUAAGCACUCCGCCUGGGGAGUACGACCGCAAGGUUGAAACUCAAAGGAAUUGACGGGGACCCGCACAAGCGGUGGAGCAUGUGGUUUAAUUCGAAGCAACGCGAAGAACCUUACCAAAUCUUGACAUCCUCUGACCCCUCUAGAGAUAGAGUUUUCCCCUUCGGGGGACAGAGUGACAGGUGGUGCAUGGUUGUCGUCAGCUCGUGUCGUGAGAUGUUGGGUUAAGUCCCGCAACGAGCGCAACCCUUAAGCUUAGUUGCCAUCAUUAAGUUGGGCACUCUAAGUUGACUGCCGGUGACAAACCGGAGGAAGGUGGGGAUGACGUCAAAUCAUCAUGCCCCUUAUGAUUUGGGCUACACACGUGCUACAAUGGACAAUACAAAGGGUAGCGAAACCGCGAGGUCAAGCAAAUCCCAUAAAGUUGUUCUCAGUUCGGAUUGUAGUCUGCAACUCGACUACAUGAAGCUGGAAUCGCUAGUAAUCGUAGAUCAGCAUGCUACGGUGAAUACGUUCCCGGGUCUUGUACACACCGCCCGUCACACCACGAGAGUUUGUAACACCCGAAGCCGGUGGAGUAACCUUUUGGAGCUAGCCGUCGAAGGUGGGACAAAUGAUUGGGGUGAAGUCGUAACAAGGUAGCCGUAUCGGAAGGUGCGGCUGGAUCACCUCCUUUCU